rnacentral:rRNA from 1 species
GACAGAGGGUGCAAACGUUGUUCGGAAUUACUGGGCGUAAAGCGAGUGUAGGCGGUUUGGUAAGUCGGAUGUGAAAGCCCCGGGCUCAACCCGGGAAGUGCACUCGAUACUGCCAAGCUAGAGUAUCGGAGAGGUUGGUGGAAUUCUCGGUGUAGAGGUGAAAUUCGUAGAUAUCGAGAGGAACACCGGUGGCGAAGGCGGCCAACUGGACGAAUACUGACGCUGAGACUCGAAAGCGUGGGGAG